rnacentral:ncRNA from 1 species
GUAAAUACAGAGAAUUGGAAGAGUAGAUUAAAUGAUUCUUAUAGAGAGUUAGCGUUUGGUGGGAGCUAAUAGAUAAUUUAGUUGAAGGUAGCCAUGGAGUAGCUAUAAUGAAAUUAAUAGUAAUUAUAGACGUAGAUCGCGUUAAGAUAUUGAGUGCCUAGAUUAUCUAGGAACAUAGGUGGUACCACGGAUUUUUAAAGUUCGUCCUUAUU